GAAAUGCGAUAAGUAGUGUGAAUUGCAGAAUUCAGUGAAUCAUCGAAUCUUUGAACGCACAUUGCGCCCCUUGGUAUUCCAUGGGGCAUGCCUGUUCGAGCGUCAUCUACACCCUCAAGCUCUGCUUGGUGUUGGGCGUCUUUGUCCCGCCUCCGCGCGCGGACUCGCCCCAAAUUCAUUGGCAGCGGUCCUUGCCUCCUCUCGCGCAGCACAUUGCGCUUCUCGAGGUGUUGCGGCCCGCGUCCAGAAAGCAAUCGUUACCGUCUUUGACCUCGGAUCGGGUAGGGAUACCCGCUGAACUUAAGC
rnacentral:misc_RNA from 1 species